ACAUCGAUAAUAGAUGUAGUCGGGUCCUGUUUAUCAAAAAAAAAAACAUCGGUAAUUAAAAAAAACAAAAGGUUAGGGCUUGGAAAGGUGCCUCUGUUAUCGACUUUGAGCUCCAGGUCUAACCCUAACCCUAGAAUUCAGCCAUGUCGUCCAAGCAAGGAGGAAAAUUGAAACCCUUGAAGCAACCCAAGGGGGGGAAGAAAGAGUACGAUGAGCAUGAUCUAGAGAACCUCCAGAAGAAGAAGGAAGAAGAGAAGGCGCUUAAAGAGCUGAGGGCCAAGGCGCAAAAGGGUGCAAUCGGAGGAGCUGGGCUUAAGAAGAGUGGAAAGAAGUAAGAAUAAACCAUGUUCCUCUUUCUUAGGAAAACCGCUUUAUCCGCUCCCCAAGUUAUGCCAUCUAUCUCUCGAUCUAUCUAUAUAGAUUAUAUAUCCUUUGUUGGACAUGUAAUACCUUACAAUUUCGAUCUAUUGUUCUCGAAAUGGGAAUGAAUCU